rnacentral:tRNA from 2 species
AAGCUAUUCUGCUCUUCAAAAUUUGCAAUUUUAUAUGCUGAACAUCACACGGCU